rnacentral:rRNA from 1 species
UACGUAGGGUGCGAGCGUUAAUCGGAACUACUGGGCGUAAAGCGUGCGCAGGCGGUUUGUUAAGACCGAUGUGAAAUCCCCGGGCUCAACCUGGGAACUGCAUUGGUGACUGGCAAGCUAGAGUAUGGCAGAGGGGGGUAGAAUUCCACGUGUAGCAGUGAAAUGCGUAGAGAUGUGGAGGAAUACCGAUGGCGAAGGCAGCCCCCUGGGCCAAUACUGACGCUCAUGCACGAAAGCGUGGGGAGCAAACA